AAGCGUCUGGGGCUUUGGGAGCGUCUGAAGCGAUGCGAAUAAAGUUGAAAAUAUCAAACUUUUCAGGCGGCAUCGCGCUGCGACAUCCAAUCAGACCAACAUGGAGAAAAAGCUAAUUGUAGCUGUGUGUGGGCACCCGGCGCUCUACGACACUGCUGCUGUCUUGUACUGGGAAAAAAUAAAAAAAGAGGAAGCGUGGGUGAAGGUCAGGGAGGAGGCGGGACUCCCUGCCUGAGGUACCACUGGAACUGGUCGUCAUCCAGACGGAGCUCCUGGAGGAGGCAGUGAAAUUCCCCCAGCUCUGUGCGUCUCCGGCAGAUUUCAUGAACCGGCGUUUCUGGGACUUGUACAGCAGAACCUGCGGAGGUCUCCUGCUGCCAGCCCCCGAAUGAAGUGAACCCAAAAUGAUGUGACAAGCUGUGAUGAGCUCGGGGAGGCGAGCUUUGGGCCAGAGGAGUGGAAGAAGGGAUUAGAUACAGGGCGAAGAAGUGAAGGGAUUACAUCAAUAUCAUAAAAUCUAGUAUAACAUGAUUUACAUUUUCUUGUGAACAAGCAUGAAUAAUUAAUGUUUCUGCAUAUAGGAAUCAACAAAACAUCUGUGUGUUCACUUAAUGUGGAUUUCUCUGUUGUGUUAAAACCUUCACAACAAUUUUUGCAUUUGGUUGUGACUGAGUAGUGUUUUGCAUAAUUCAACAUAAAUGUAUUACCAUAUAUUAUUUUAUUCUAUCAGAGCCGACAUUGCCAAUAUGCACAAGUGGAAAUGUGGUUAAGUAGAGUUUAUCAUAAUCACCGGCUGGAGGCCAUGGGGUCGGACAUUAAAACACUUCCAGCUGACUACUUUCCUACAGAUUCUAGUCGAGUCACCAUCAUUUUUUUAGAUCCUGGUUGAUUUUGAUUUUAACUUUUAAAUGAAUGUAAGAUUUGUCUCUGUUCCUCAUGAUAAAGAGCCAGUUUUUUAAGAUAAUUGAUUGUUGGGUCAAAUUCACAAGUCACAAGUACUGUUGUUGCCGGCCCGGUCCAAGCGACCCGAAGCAUCAGUAUUUGAUGAGUUGAAUGAGACUUUACGACCUGACUUUCUUACUGACUGGACCUUUAAAGCACCUGAACUAAAUAAACAACACGAGCACUCUCACAUUAAUACACAAUAUCCUGUACAUAUGCAUUUGUUGUCGCUCUGAUUAUGUUUCCAUUGUCGCUGGAUUCUAUUGGAUGGUGCUUAUUUAAACUUAUUUUGGGAAGUUCACAUUUCAUGGGUUUGACACCCAUGCCGGGAUUAUGACUCUGCACUGUGCUGAAUCAGAUAUGGUUGUGGUUGAAGUGUUCUGAAUUCAGGGCUUGGCUGUUCUCAGCCGCUGUGUAAACAAUGUUUACAAAAGUCUCAGUGAUCCUUGUUGUCCCAGAAUCAUGAGAGCUGGAUGCAGGUACACACAGAGGCCGGGAAGGUUUCUGCGCUCACACAAUAGUGUGGUAAUAUGAUGUUUAUUUCCAUCUUGAGCUCAUUUCGGUCAUUGAAGUGUUGUUUUCUGAACAAUCAGCCAACAUUAUUGGUGGCAAACUGGCAGUUUUCACAGUGUUUUCAGAGCACCAGGUUCUGAUCACAUGUUUAGAAAGUUAAG